rnacentral:rRNA from 1 species
AACGAACGCUGGCGGCAUGCCUAACACAUGCAAGUCGAACGGGAUCCGGCCUUCGGGCCGGUGAGAGUGGCGGACGGGUGAGUAACGCGUGGGAACCUGCCCAUUGGUCUGGGAUAACUGCGGGAAACUGCAGCUAAUACCGGAUGUACCCGCGAGGGGAAAGAUUUAUCGCCGAUGGAGGGGCCCGCGUCAGAUUAGGUAGUUGGUGAGGUAACGGCUCACCAAGCCUACGAUCUGUAGCUGGUCUGAGAGGAUGAUCAGCCACACUGGGACUGAGAUACGGCCCAGACUCCUACGGGAGGCAGCAGUGGGGAAUAUUGGACAAUGGGGGCAACCCUGAUCCAGCAAUGCCGCGUGAGUGAUGAAGGUCUUCGGAUUGUAAAGCUCUUUUGGCAGGGACGAUGAUGACGGUACCUGCAGAAUAAGCUCCGGCUAACUUCGUG